UUUUUUCUCUAGUCAGUAUAUGGUCUAACAAAUUUGCAACAUGAAGGUCAUAUCUAACAAAUCUAGAUUUUUUGGUUGCUAUUGUUGCUAGGUUGAAGUAGAGGCCUAUCUUGCUCAAACAACUGAAGAUGGGCAAGAUCAUGGGCAAGAUCAUGGGCAAGAUCAUGGGCAAGAUCCAAAGACACCAGUUGAAGCUAUAGCUCAUGUUCUGCCCAAAUCAACUUUCUUCUCAAUAUUGGCAUGGAGUCCAAAUAGAUGAAGAAAGAUGCUAAAGCUGCUGCGAUGAACAAGCGUGUGCAAG
rnacentral:lncRNA from 1 species